UGGCGGACGGGUGAGUAAUGUCUGGGAAACUGCCUGAUGGAGGGGGAUAACUACUGGAAACGGUAGCUAAUACCGCAUAACGUCGCAAGACCAAAGAGGGGACCUUAGGGCCUCUUGCCAUCGGAUGUGCCCAGAUGGGAUUAGCUAGUAGGUGGGGUAAAGGCUCACCCAGGCGACGAUCCCUAGCUGGUCUGAGAGGAUGACCAGCCACACUGGAACUGAGACACGGUCCAG
rnacentral:rRNA from 1 species